rnacentral:rRNA from 2 species
CUUUGAUUCAUCAAUGAAAUUGCGUACGGCUCAUUAGAGCAGAUAUCACCUUGUUCGGAAUAUUAUAUGGAUAACGCGGAAAUACUGGAGCUAAUACAUGUCAUACAUCCCCAACGUAAGGCGGGGUGCAAUUAUUAGAACAGACCAAACGUUUUCGGACGUUGUUUGUUGACUCUGAAUAAAGCAGUUUACUGUCAGUUUCGACUGACUCUAUCCGAAAAGGGUGUCUGCCCUUUCAACUAGAUGGUAGUUUAUUGGACUACCAUGGUUGUUACGGGUAACGGAGAAUAAGGGUUCGACUCCGGAGAGGGAGCCUUAGAAACGGCUACCACGUCCAAGGAAGGCAGCAGGCGCGAAACUUAUCCACUGUUGAGUAUGAGAUAGUGACUAAAAAUAUAAAGACUCAUCCUUUUGGAUGAGUUAUUUCAAUGAGUUGAAUACAAAUGAUUCUUCGAGUAGCAAG